GGGAUAGAAUUCCAGGAGUAGCGGUGAAAUGCGUAGAUAUCUGGAGGAAUACCAAAGGCGAAGGCAGUCCCCUGGUCCGAUACUGACACUGAGGUACGAAAGCGUGGGGAGCAAACAGGAUUAGAUACCCUGGUAGUCCACGCCCUAAACGAUGUCGAUUAGCCAUUGGAAGGACCCCUUUUCCUUUCAGUGACGUAGCUAACGCGUUAAAUCGACCGCCUGGGAAGUACGACCGCAAGGUUAAAACUCAAAGGAAUUGACGGGGACCUGAACAAGCGGUGAAUGAUGUGGAUUAAUUCGAUGCUACGCGAAGAACCUUACCUACCUUUGACAUGGCCAAAGUUCUACCGAGAGGCGGAAGUACUCGUAAGAGGAUUGGCGCACAGGUGCUGCAUGGUUGUCGUCAGUUCGUGUCGUGAGAUGUUGGGUUCAGUCCCGCAACGAGCGCAACCCUUAUCUUUAAUUGCUCCUAUUUUAACAGGCACUUUAAAGAAACUGCCAAUGAUAAGUUGGAGGAAGGUGGGGAUCACGUCAAGUCCGCAUGGCCUUUAUAGGUAGGGCUUCACACGUCAUACAAUGGUUAGAACAAAGAGCUGCAAAUUCGUAAGAAGGAGCCAAUCUCACAAACCUAACCUCAGUUCGAAUUGCGGUCUGCAACUCGAGCGCAUGAAGCCGGAAUCGCUAGUAAUCGUGGAUCAGAAUGCCACGGUGAAUACGUUCUUAGGUCUU
rnacentral:rRNA from 1 species